rnacentral:rRNA from 1 species
AUUGAACGCUGGCGGCAUGCCUUACACAUGCAAGUCGAACGGCAGCGCGGGUGCUUGCACCUGGUGGCGAGUGGCGAACGGGUGAGUAAUAGAUCGGAACGUACCUUAUCGUGGGGGAUAACGCAGCGAAAGCUGUGCUAAUACCGCAUACGCCCUGAGGGGGAAAGCGGGGGAUCGCAAGAACCCGCGCGAUUGGAGCUGCCGAGGCCUGCUUAGCUUGUUGGUGGGGGAAAAGCCCACCAAGGCGACGAUCAGUAGCUGGUCUGAGAGGACGAUCAGCCACACUGGGACUGAGACACGGCCCAGACUCCUACGGGAGGCAGCAGUGGGGAAUUUUGGACAAUGGGGGCAACCCUGGUCCAGCAAUGCCGCGUGAGUGAAGAAGGCUUUCGGGUUGUAAAGCUCUUUUGUCAGGGAAGAAACACCGGCUCUAACACAGUCCGGGAAUGACGGUACCUGAAGAAUAAGCACCGGCUAACUACGUGCCAGCAGCCGCCGUAA